AUUCAGAUCUGAGCCUGAUUCAAACUUCAAUUCUCUAAUUAAAUUACAUCACAAAAAAUCUAUCAAAAUGGAUUUAAAUCCAUGCAUAAUCAGGUAUUAAAUCAGCAUAAAAAUCUGCACAAGAAAUUUCUUCUAAAACAAAUUUUUAGCAGUCCGAAUUUAGGGACUGAUUUUGAUUCGAUACUCUAAUCAAAAUUAAAUAAAAAAUAUACAGAAGAUAUCAGAAGAGACCAAAGUUUAAUCAUAUUAAAAAUUUUAAUUCAAAACUAGAUAAAAAAAUCAAAAAAAAUUUAAAAUUUAAUUAUGCGAUCAUAACAUACAGGGUUGACUCUGAUACCAAUUGAAGAAAAAAUUUAUCCGAUCGCAUUGAAUGUCAGGAAGAUAGAAUAGACUAGUAAUUAAAAUUUUUAUAAUAUUUAUGAAUUCUCAUCUUGAUUCACAAUGAAAAAGUAUCAAGAUUGAAGAAGUUCCUCGAUCAAUAUGCUUCAUGAGAUCUGGAUACGCAGAUCUUCUACUUCGCAUGCACACCAAAUGCUGUAGGAGAUGGAUGAAAUCCUUCCUUCAGAGAUGUACCCUUGAGAUUUGAUCUCUUUGGAGUAGUCCACAUGCUACCAUGCCAAGAGGAGGGAGGAUGCCCAAG
rnacentral:lncRNA from 1 species